UGUUUGCUUUGCUGGGUGAGGGGUCAUAACUUCCAGACAAUUCUUUAGAGUAUCUGCAACUCCAAACAGGUUUUAAUAACAGGCCUCCAGCUUGGUGUCUCAGGUUCCUUCCAGAUGGAAAAUGAUAUGCUCUCAGGAUGUUGUUGAAGCUUCAUCACUAACGGGCAAACGAAAGGCAGAUGGCUGGUUCCUGGAGGAAUGACCUUGUUGAUCCAGAUCCCACAGUCAACAGCUGAGCUUGGAGGUGACCGGCCGCAUGGAGCGGUUUUCCCGCGGGAAGGCCUGCACUUGCACACCAGCCUGAAGUGUCCCUUUCAGGUCACCAGCCGGCCUGACUCCUUGAUGGGAGGAGACACGGGCAGGUCCCGGACGAAGGUCCACUCUCUGACGCCCCCACCCACCGGGUCAACCCGUCGGGACAAGGAGCAAGACCCUUCAGCUCAUUCUGCACCCCCUCUGCUGCCACAGCUAGGGAGGAGGGGCCCAGGGCCCCAUCCCCGAGAGCCGAGAGCUGUGGCAGUGCCGUGCCAAGUGACAGCCGCUGCGACCUCACCGGGACUCUCCGGCAGUGGAGGCCGCUCCUCCGGAGCCCCCCGCAGCGCACCUGUGCCGCUUCAGAAUUCCCAUCUGCAGUGGCAGAUGAGAGGAACUGAUCCAUGCAAAGGACAGAAGGUUUGACAAGACGUGUGGCAGCCACUGCUGCUCUCCUCCCCCGCCCCGGAGCCGCCGCCCCGCCAAAGAGAAAGACCGGGGAGACAGAAAAAGAAAGAGAAAAAGGCAAGAGGAGAUUUUGUACCCUUAAGCCUCGACAGCCGAAGUUCAAAAGACCAAUCUUUACUGAAAAUAAAUUUAAAGGAGAAUUUUUGAUGUACAUUAUGGUCUCUGGUGGAAGACAAGAGCGCUGCCGGCGGUAUAUGGAGCUAUGCGAAGCCAACGUGGGAUUACUUAAAAGUGUCUGUAGUGCUUUGAUUAACUGGUGUGUAUUUUAUUUUCAUACGACACAAUCACAGGCCUGUAUUGAUAAUAUCUUGCUAUUAUUGUUUGACACUUGAAUCUCCCUUUUUCUUAUGACUUGGAAGCAGGCUUUGUUCAGUCUGGGGCAAGGGGCAAAGGGUCAGGAUGAUCCAAAAGGGGUAAGCGGGAGACGUGCCCACCACCCCAGACUUUUUCCAUGCAAUGCGUGAAAGCACUCAGACCUCUCCUAGGAAGCUAAGCCAUGGGAGCUCAGACGUGGGGACCCGAGGAGCUGGCCAAGGCCACGUGCUGUAAGCAAGCCCAACCCACCUUCUGCCAUUCCCUAGGUGUGUCUGUGAAACACUCCCUCAUGAGGGCACCCUCUGGGAAUAAGGCUCCAUGCCAGACACUAAGCUCCAAACCCACCUUUCUAUGGUUUGCUCUGGGGUGCUGGGCUGGGACUCUGCAAAUUGCAUUUCUCCUUGGCCACUGGGCUCCUGUUUGGUUUUGCCAAUAGGAGGAGCUAGAGCGAGACCUGAAAGCUGGGGGAGGGGAGAAAGGAUUUGUUCCUUCCUAUCCACCUGCUGUUUCUGCCUCUGCUGCCCCAGCACAGGUGCCCUUGCCCAGCGGCAGCAGUGGCUUCCGGGCACCAACUUCCUUUGGCUCUCACAGUACCAACCUCACUGCAGCCCGAGGUCCCAGCACCAGCCAGGCAGGGUCCCCUGGGAAGGCGGAGUCCCAGCUCUGCGGAGCCCUGAGUGACUCUCACCUCCUGAGACAGGAGUGGGCGGGGCGCAGUCAGCUCAAAGCACUGAGCUUGGGGCCCUGCCUUCCAGCUCCGGGGUGUCAGCAGCGCUGCCCCAUUCAGGACUGGAUCCCAGCUCUUCAGGGUCCUGCCUUUGUUCAUCCAGAUCUAGGUAAUAGCUGCUGGCUUCUGCUGAACCAAUCCCUGGUAUAAAAUCAUCUCAGAAGCAAUGCCUGGACCCCAAACAGUAUAUGUUCCUUGAAACAAAGUUGUUCUGAGCAGCGGGCUCCAUUCUCCUUCAUCCGGAAGCAAAGAUGGCGCUGGGGAGUGGCUGGGCUGCAUUCCUGAGGCUCACAGAACCCAGGAGAGUCCCAUGGAGCCAUGCCAGGGAGGAACUGUGAGGGCGGUGGCUGAGAGGACUGCAGAGCCUCACACCGCACUCAGGAGGGCAUGGCCUGCACCUUUAAGAUGUGGCAGGGAUAAAUCCAGUCAGUCCUUUGCUCUUGGAGCCCUUGGGGACAAGGAAAUGGCCACUGGAAUGUAUCUUUGUUUAUAGAACGGACAGAGCAGCUGUUUUCCUUGCUGGCUUUUCCCAGCUGUCACCCCCCCACACACACACACACACACACUGUGGCACUCACAGGGACACACUCAGAGAUUUUUUCUUUCUAAUUUCCAGAGAUCUCUCAAGUGCCAGUCUGACUCCCCCACACUGGCUCCUUGUAUCCCUGCUUUAUACCCACUGAGCUCACCCGCUGCUCCGUGGGGUCCUGCCUGAAGCCUGGGCAGAGAGUUCUGUUGCUGGCCUCAUCCCAUCCACUGGCGGCUGAAAGUGGAAGCAGGGUCUCCGUUAUCCCUGUGCCGCCGGGUGUGCGUCUGAGGCCGGAGGGCACACUCCCGGGCUCAUGGCGAUGGCCUUUCUGCCUUCCCCGCUGCCCUGGCACGGUGUGGGGCCCUUGUGAUCCUUUCAUCCCCCACCCCCACCCCAAGCCGGAUUCUGUCUAAACUUCAGCCAAACCUGGUGCGGAGCCCUCUAUGCCUGAAACACACCUGUGAGCUUCCUUCAACACGGAGCCGUGUGCCCCGCUCACUCGGGCGGAUCCUCUUAGCACAGUGGCGUCAGAAGACCGGCCUCUUACUGGCAGUGUGGUUCUGGCCAAUUGAUGGCUCUCUCUGAGGCCCAGCUUUCUCCCUGUCUAUUUCACAAGGCUGCUGUCGGGUCAAAUACUAUAAUAUACAUGAAAGCAUUCUUUUAAAAUAUAUUUUUAUUGAUUUCAGAAAGGAAGGAAGAGGGAGAGACAGAAACAUCCAUGAUGAGAGAGAAUCAUUGAUUGGCUGCCUCCUGCAUGCCCCCACUGGGGAUCGAGCCCACAACCUAAGCAUGUACCCUUGAUGGGAAUUGAAGCUGGGGCCCUUCAGUCCACCGCCAACGCUCUAUCCACUGAGCCACGCCAGCCAGAGCCAUGAAAGCAUUUUUACACAGGAAAGCCCUGUACAAAUGGGAGGUAACAUCACUGCAACAGUUGCUGUCCAAGCCAUUCACCAUGUUAUUAUCUAAGUCCUCCUUCUGGUGUUUUUGACUCAUCCCCUUUCACUCUGCCUGGUUGGGCGAUGCUGUAGAUUUCUCCCUGGGGCUGCAGUUGCACAGAGGAGGCUGAGGCAGCCACGUGUCUUCAUUCUUGAUUCUCAGAGCCCACAGGGCUCUGGCCCACCCAGCUCCCCUGGGGUGGCCUGGGCUGCCCCUCAGGGGCCAUACUUUCAGGCCUAUCCAGUCCCAACUGUGGAGCCCCUUCUGGAUGGGCUGGCGGGAGCCCCAUCAGUGGCUGCAUGAACCCUAACGGCGUGUGGCCCAUCAUGCAGGUCAGGGUGUCAGGGGAGGAGGCCCGGCCCGACCUCAGAGCUCCCUGAGUUAUUUACUGCCUCUGGCGUCAUGGGCUCAUUUGGGCCUUUGCCCAGCCCUGGGCAAAUGGCUUCACCUCUUCUCCCCCGGGACUCUUCCUUUUCUACCUCACAGGAAUAAAUGAUGGGGAGGGAGAACAAAUUGCAGCACUGCUAUACUGUGCUGUAUACUAAAUUCUGCAGUUAAAAACUACUAUAGAUUGAAGAGAGGUCUCCCGCCUUGAAGGAGCUGUUAAGAAUGGAAACGCUCACCCAUGGGAACAAUGCUAGACCCUACACUCCUGUCCAGCUCGUGCUAAAACAGAGCCACGCAGACGGGCCUCAAAUCGGGAGACGAUUAACGGAAUCAGUGAAUAUUUCUUAGAGAGUGUCAAUUUUUUUUAAAACCUGUGUUUUGCAGAAAAUAAGAAAAUUGAUAAGUGAAAUGAAGAAGAAAAAAUUACCUAUAAUUUCUAUCUGAAGAUAACCACUGUCUACAGGUUGAUAUAUGUCCUUGGAGACGUUUUUGAUGCAUGUAUUUAUAUUCAUGCAAUUCUA